rnacentral:ribozyme from 1 species
AAUUUGUAUAAAAAAAUCAGUUUAUCCCUUUUUUUAAUUUUUUAUUAAGUGCUUACCACGUUGUCCGACGUCAAUUACAUUUAUAAAAUGAGCGUAAACACGGAUGCUGGAAUAAGUGAUGCUGCAGUUGAAGAAGUAAAGAGAAAAAAUGAGGAACAUUAU